rnacentral:rRNA from 1 species
UGCGGUUAAAAAGCUCGUAGUUGGAUUUCUGUUGAGGACGGCCGGUCCGCACUAUGUGCGUGUAUCUGGUUCGGCCUCGGCAUCCUCUCGAAAGCCGUUUCUGCGCUUGAUUGCGUGGUUCGGACUUCGGGACUUUUGCUUUGAGGAAAUUAGAGUGUUCACGGCAGGCAAGCGCCUUGAAUAUAUUAGCAUGGAAUAAUAAUAUAGGAUCUUGGUCCUAUUUUGUUGGUUUCUAGGGCUAAGAUAAUGAUUAAUAGGGACAAUUGGGGGCAUUCGUAUUAACGCGUCAGAGGUGGAAUUCUUGGAUUGCGUUACGACGAACUACUGCGAAAGCAUUUGCCAAGGAUGUUUUCGUUGAUCAAGAACGAAAGUAAGGGGAUCGAAGAUGAUUAGAUACCGUCGUAGUCUUUACCAUAAACUAUGCCAACUAGAGAUGGGGCUGCGGUUUAUUUAUGACCCGCUCCGCACCUUAUGAGAAAUCAAAGUUUUUGGGUUCCGGGGGGAGUAUGGUCGCAAGGCUGAAACUUAAAGGAAUUGACGGAAGGGCACCACCAGGAGUGGAGCCUGCGGCUUAAUUUGACUCAACACGGGAAAACUCACCAGGUCCAGACAUAGUAAGGAUUGACAGAUUGAUAGCUCU